CCUGGUGCACAUGAUGACUGAUCUUUUUUCCCCAGCAGAUCGACUCUGUUGACUUCAUUUGUAAAACAAAAUAAGCCAAGUGAACUGAG